rnacentral:tRNA from 1 species
UAAUUUUUAUUUUCAUGUUAAAAUUAGCAAAAAUCGCCGGAAUAGCUCAGU